GGUGAAAGAUACCCAGAAGAAAGCUUCUAACUUUCCCUCUAAGCGGUGCAACCCCGUUUUUUCACCU
rnacentral:tRNA from 1 species